UUUCCCCUGCUGUGUUCGUGAUCGACGGAGGCAACUUAGAACCAACGAAGAAAAAAAGGAAGCUGUCCCUUACCGUGGCGGUCAGGCCCCCAACUACGGGGAAGACUCAAGCGGUAAUAUGGCAUCCACCUGGUUUCCAGGUUCAAGUUGACCCAUUGACACGGCACAAAGCGGGGGAAAC
rnacentral:other from 1 species